rnacentral:rRNA from 1 species
UGGCGAACGGGUGAGUAACGCGUGAGUAACCUGCCCUGGAGUGGGGGGACAACAGUUGGAAACGACUGCUAAUACCGCAUAAGCCCACGAUCCGGCAUCGGAUUGAGGGAAAAGGAUUUAUUCGCUUCAGGAUGGACUCGCGUCCAAUUAGCUGGUUGGUGAGGUAACGGCCCACCAAGGCGACGAUUGGUAGCCGGACUGAGAGGUUGAACGGCCACAUUGGGACUGAGACACGGCCCAG